GACGAACGCUGGCGGCGUGCUUAACACAUGCCAGUCGAACGGAAAGGCCCCUUUGGGGGUCCUCGAGUGGCGAACGGGUGAGUAACACGUGAGUAACCUGCCCUUGACUUCGGGAUAACUUCAGGAAACUGGGGCUAAUACCGGAUAGGAAUCCUUGCUGCAUGGUGGGGGUUGGAAAGCUUCGGCGGUUUUGGAUGGACUCGCGGCUUAUCAGCUUGUUGGUGGGGUAGUGGCUUACCAAGGCUUUGACGGGUAGCCGGCCUGAGAGGGCGACCGGCCACAUUGGGACUGAGAUACGGCCCAGACUCCGACGGGAGGCAGCAGUGGGGAAGAUUGCACAAUGGGCGGAAGCCUGAUGCAGCAACGCCGCGUGCGGGAUGACGGCCUUCGGGUUGGAAACCGCUUUCAGCAGGGGCGAAGCUUGUGGUGACGGUACCUGCAGAAGAAGCACCGGCUAACUACGUG
rnacentral:rRNA from 1 species